rnacentral:rRNA from 1 species
UACGAAGGGGGCUAGCGUUGCUCGGAAUUACUGGGCGUAAAGGGCGCGUAGGCGGACAGUUUAGUCAGAGGUGAAAGCCCAGGGCUCAACCUUGGAAUUGCCUUUGAUACUGGCUGUCUUGAGUACGGGAGAGGUGAGUGGAACUCCGAGUGUAGAGGUGAAAUUCGUAGAUAUUCGGAAGAACACCAGUGUCGAAGGCGACUCACUGGCCCGUUACUGACGCUGAGGCGCGAAAGCGUGGGGAGCAAACAGG